ACCUCUCGCCCGAUUCCUCACGGUUUCCCCUAAAAACGUCUCCUCUCCUCUCAAUCUCCGCCGCAUUGAACGGGAAUCACCACCGGCCUUUGGCACCGGUCAGCCGCCAUCCCACGCCGGCGAGUCCUCUGGGGGGUGUCGCAAUCGGACGCGGAGGUCUUCGAUCUUUUCACUGGCGACACGAAACGGCUGGAUGAGGGCUUCCGGCGGUAGAACGAGGGCGGGAAUGACAAGGGAAAGGCAAGUACAUCCUCUAUGAUGAUAUGGGAUCGGUGAGGUAAGAAUGCCUCCCAGGAUAUGCGGACGGAGUAGGCGAGGAGACGAGAUGGACGCAUGACACUGUUCGGGCAUUUUAGGAGUGCAAAACAUACUUGUUCUAUUGUGAGAGGUUCUUCAUUUGAAUAAGGAGAUGUUUGAGGAUUCAUUGCCCCUUAUUAUUAAGCUCUUGUUGAGAUGUUGUCAUUUACACUAGUUAAGAUAAUUUAUUUCGUAGGAA